UACGUAGGGGGCAAGCGUUGUCCGGAUUUAUUGGGCGUAAAGAGCUCGUAGGCGGCUCAGAAAGUCGGGUGUGAAACCUCCAGGCUCAACCUGGAGACGCCACCUGAAUUACUGCUGUGGCUAGAGUCCGGUAGGGGAACACGGGAAUUCCCGGUGUAGCGGUGAAAUGCGCGAUAUCAGGAAGAACAGCCCGUGGCUAAGGCGGCUCUCUAGUACGGUACUGACGCUGAGACGCGAAAGCGUGGGGAGCGAACAGG
rnacentral:rRNA from 1 species